CCACGUCACGGGUGAGUUUGCUAAAUUGCACCAGAGUCUGACUGACAGAGAGCAGCGAGUGAUGCGAGAUCUCAGACAACGAGAGGAGGAGAUUUUAAAGCGAAUGGAGGCAAAUCUGAGAGAUUCAGUGCAAAUUAAAUUCUGUUGAACAACAACUCUCCGAGUUACAGACACAGAUGGGAAAAGACGCUCCCACCUUCCUGCAGGAGGAAGCUGCUGGCAACAGAAGGGUCAGUGACGAGGGAUUUGAUCUGUCAGUGUGUGAGGCUGAGCUGCCUGUGGCCAAGUACAAAUGGCCUUUGAAGAACACAGUCUGGAGACAGAUUAUAGACAACAUCAGCCCAGGUACAUAUCUCCCAUUCUCACCUUGAAGUCGUGUCAAUAGAUUUGCAUUCAUCUCGAUCUCAACGCAUACACUCCACACACUUCCUCACACGUACACAUAUCGAGUCAUCCCUCACAUAAGCAUAUCAACGCAACACCCUCAUACACACACACACACCUCACACUACUAAUCACGAAUAUAAC